GACGAACGCUGGCGGCGUGCUUAACACAUGCAAGUCGAACGGAAAGGCCCUGCUUUUGUGGGGUGCUCGAGUGGCGAACGGGUGAGUAACACGUGAGUAACCUGCCCUUGACUUUGGGAUAACUUCAGGAAACUGGGGCUAAUACCGGAUAGGAGCUCCUGCUGCAUGGUGGGGGUUGGAAAGUUUCGGCGGUUGGGGAUGGACUCGCGGCUUAUCAGCUUGUUGGUGGGGUAGUGGCUUACCAAGGCUUUGACGGGUAGCCGGCCUGAGAGGGUGACCGGCCACAUUGGGACUGAGAUACGGCCCAGACUCCUACGGGAGGCAGCAGUGGGGAAUAUUGCACAAUGGGCGGAAGCCUGAUGCAGCAACGCCGCGUGCGGGAUAACGGCCUUCGGGUGGUAAACCGCUUUCGCCUGUGACGAAGCGUGAGUGACGGUAAUGGGUAAAGAAGCACCGGCUAACUACGUG
rnacentral:rRNA from 1 species